AGCAGCCGCGUGAAAACGCCUCUUCAAAUUCCACACGCUGUUUGUGCGUCAUCAGAUACUGAAGAUUGUUUGAAAUGCUCUUCGUUCUUAGGAAGAGUUCUGCGCAUGCGCGAGCCCUUCUCAACCGGCGGCGAGAGCCUGAAUUACGAUCGAGGUGACUGACGCCGUUCUGGAGCAAGCUUUGCACUGUGUCCACAAGAUCUUGGAACCCAAUAUGACAGAAGAGUUCGAGAAGAGCAAGGCUUCCAAGGGCUCCGGAAUGACAGACCUCGAGUACGUCAAGAAGGAGUGGGAGAAGCCCUGCACAUCUGAAGACAACAGCAUCCGCCGCCUUUUGGUUCCAACCCAAAAUGAGGACAUGAAACCAAAGUCGAUCUACAUCGUGGAAGCCUGUCUGAAUGGAACGAUCUACAGCUUUCGCAGAGAAGGCAAACUAUGAAGGCUGCUCGGUUUCCCAACGCCUUUCCUACGUAUACUCUCACCGAACGAAAGAGAAUAUUAAAACAAAAUUGCAACACCUGCGCACAUAUACAGGACAAGGCUAAAGGGCAUAGUGAACAAGAACAAUA